ensembl:lncRNA
CUGACAGCUAAAGGGGAGUUUGAUCAAUUUCGAUUUUCUGGUAAAUGAAGAAAAUCGCCCCUCCUGUUCUCCUUCACACACGCCCAUUUAUUCACGCUGCAAGUCGCUCAACACGCCUUCCUGAAAGCUGCUUUUUAGCAGGGGCAGCUAUACUGGUGUGCUGGGCUGAGUCUGAGGAGUGGGUGGGUGCCGGCCUGCCCUCGAGGAUCUCGGGUCGCUGCGGGGAGGCAGAUGACAGAAUCGAUGUUCCACGUGGGGGCUAAGCUGAGAGCUACAGCUGCACAGAGGGUCAUGGGUAUGAGUGGAUCUAGAGGUCAUGAUGACGCAGCGAACCAGGUCUCAAAGGUCCAGAAAAGUCACGAGAGGUCUAAAAGGGAGUUAACACAGAAAAGUCUCUAAAAUGUUUCCCGGGCCUAGUCGUCAUCCCGAGAAAUCCGGGCCGUUGACUCUUCUUGGGUAGGCGCUGUGGUUGUGGCCACAGGUGGACAUCUGGCUGAAAGUGAAACCCUGCCUCCAGGACAGACCUCCCUUUGUUGAUGCGGUUCAGCCCCUCCCCAGACAGGGUCCCACUGUGCAGUCUUGGUUGGCCUGAACCUCAUUACAUGGACAAUGCCAGCCUCAAACUCACAGAGCUCUGCCUGCUUCUGCUUCCUGGGUCCUGGGAUUAAAGAUGUACACCAACAUUCAUUGGUCCACCUUACUUUUGAGAUAGUGUCUUUCACUGAACCCAGAACCCACCCAUUUGACGCCACUGACUGACCAAUGAGCUCCAGUGAUCUGCUAGUCUCAUCCUCCUCAGCACUGCAAUUAUAGGCACAUUCCCCAAUCCUUGACUUUUUAUGUGGAUGCUAGAGAUCUAAAUUUGGACCCUCAUGCUUGUACGGCAUGACUGCACCAUCUCUCUAGGUCCCUGAAGAAAUAGUUUGUUCUUCAUUGGAAUCCAGUUUUCAUUAGAUGCAUAUAUAUAUAUAUAUAACUUGCUAGUGUAGUCUGCUGCUGAUACAUAAUAAGGAUUUUUUUACACUUCAUAACUUUUAUAAAUAAAUAGAUUGCUAUGCUUUAAAUGUUUGCAUUCCACCAAAAUUCCUAUGUUGGACUUUAACCUCCAAGAUGAUGUUAUUAAGAUGUGAGGCCUGAGAGACAUGGUGGUGACAGGUUUGAGAGUGUGAUUGUUGCAGACAAAGAAGAAUGCUGUUGCCAAGUAAGGCCUCUGGGAGGCUUGGGCCACCACCGGCCUACCUCACCCUGUAGCAGCCUGCUGGGCCAGUGCCACCACUCAGCCCACCAGCACCAUGGGGCUACUCUCCCUGCUGAGGACAUAAGAGCACAAUAGCACUGUCUCUGGGGUGCAAACACAAUGGUCAUGUCUGGGGUACCAGUCGGAUGUCAAGCACUGAAGGCGGGGUAGUGUACAGCAGCCUGAAGCUCUCAAGGGUCCUGCCCCAGACACUGCUGUCCAGCCGCACGAUUACCCCAACUCUGAGCAACAACAAGAUGUCUGAGAUGGAGGGAAGGCCUAGGCCCUACUCCAAAUGCUAUGACGGACUUUGAAGAUCCCCCAUGGAAGGCCUCACCCUCCUUGCGGAGCAGAGGGAAUGAGGGAC